rnacentral:tRNA from 1 species
UGUGCGAUUGUUGGUAGAGCGGAGGACUGUAGAUCCUUAGGUCGCUGGUUCGAAUCCGGCUCGAAGGA